CCUACGGGUGGCUGCAGUGAGGAAUAUUGGUCAAUGGACGAGAGUCUGAACCAGCCAAGUAGCGUGAAGGAUGACUGCCCUCUGGGUUGUAAACUUCUUUUAUAUGGGAAUAAAAUGUUCCACGUGUGGGAUUUUGUAUGUACCAUAUGAAUAAGGAUCGGCCAACUCCGUACCAGCAGCCGCGGUAAUACGGAGGAUCCGAGCGUUAUCCGGAUUUAUUGGGUUUAAAGGGAGCGUAGGUGGAUUGUUAAGUCAGUUGUGAAAGUUUGCGGCUCAACCGUAAAAUUGCAUGUGAAACUGGCAGUCUUGAGUACAGUAGAGGUGGGCGGAAUUCGUGGUGUAGCGGUGAAAUGCUUAGAUAUCACGAAGAACUCCGAUUGCGAAGGCAGUUCACUGGACUGCAACUGACACUGAGGCUCGAAAGUGUGGGUAUCAAACAGGAUUAGAUACCCGAGUAGUC
rnacentral:rRNA from 1 species